rnacentral:lncRNA from 1 species
CAUGAAGAUAAUAUAUCUGUUUAAAUACUAAUAACACGAUGUUGCAGGUAGAAGAGUACAAGUUAAGACAGGAUGCCUUAAUUAAAGAAGAGGCCUUUACUCCUGUUUUCUUCCAUUCUCACCCCUCUGUUUCUGCCAGAAUUGUGACAGCAGGGCAGAAAAUGGGCUUUUCGUGCAGAGUUGACAAGAUACAGGGUAGUGAAGACAAGAAUCUUCUUUCACAUGCUAAGAAACUCCUGACUAUACUUCUGAAGUAGUAAUUGGAAUGACAGCUUUUCUGGCUGAAGUACAAUUUUUUUGUUUUAAAAAUACAAAUGGUCCCUCUCAUUUUCUAUUCCCAGUUCUUUCACUCACAUGCUCACACUUACAGUUAUACAGUGUUCACACAUACAUUUUUCAUUGUUUUCUCAUUUGAAAUAAAAUGUUAUGAGAAAUUUUCACCAUAA